rnacentral:rRNA from 1 species
UAAGCCUGCGAAGGUGGCCUGUGAGGGUUGCUGGAGGUAUCAGAAGUGCGAAUGCUGACAUAAGUAACGAUAAAGCGGGUGAAAAGCCCGCUCGCCGGAAGACCAAGGGUUCCUGUCCAACGUUAAUCGGGGCAGGGUGAGUCGACCCCUAAGGCGAGGCCGAAAGGCGUAGUCGAUGGGAAACGGGUUAAUAUUCCCGUACUUGGUGUUACUGCGAAGGGGGGACGGAGAAGGCUAUGUUGGCCGGGCGACGGUUGUCCCGGUUUAAGCGUGUAGGUGUGUGUUCCAGGUAAAUCCGGUUCACUUUAACACUGAGGCGUGACGACGAGGCACUACGGUGCUGAAGCAACAAAUGCCCUGCUUCCAGGAAAAGCCUCUAAGCAUCAGGUAACAUCAAAUCGUACCCCAAACCGACACAGGUGGUCAGGUAGAGAAUACCAAGGCGCUUGAGA